GAGUAGCUAGUCUAACCCAAGACAGUUGAUUUCGACCCAACUAAUUAUGGUUCAACCCCAUAGCCACUCU
rnacentral:tRNA from 1 species